rnacentral:rRNA from 1 species
GACGAACGCUGGCGGCGUGCCUAAUACAUGCAAGUAGAACGCUGAAGGAGGAGCUUGCUUCUCUGGAUGAGUUGCGAACGGGUGAGUAACGCGUAGGUAACCUGCCUGGUAGCGGGGGAUAACUAUUGGAAACGAUAGCUAAUACCGCAUAAUAGUAGAUGUCGCAUGACAUUUGCUUAAAAGGUGCAAUUGCAUCACUACCAGAUGGACCUGCGUUGUAUUAGCUAGUUGUUGUGGUAACGGCUCACCAAGGCAACGAUACAUAGCGGACGUGAGAGGGGGGUCAGCCACACUGGGACUGUGACACGGCCCAUAGGCACACGGGAAGGAGCAGUAGGGAAACUGCGGGAAUGGACGGAAGACAGAGCACGCAACGCCGAGUGAGGGAAGAGGAUUGUCGGGUCGGAAAGCUCUGUUGUAAGGUUAGAAAGAGUGUGAGAGUGGAAAGUUCACUCUGUGACGGUAACUGACCAGAAAGGAACGGCUAACUACGUG